rnacentral:rRNA from 1 species
GACGAACGCUGGCGGCGUGCCUAAUACAUGCAAGUCGAACGGACGAAUCGAAAGCUGGCUUUUGAUUCUUUAUCGGCGGACGGGUGAGUAACACGUGGGCAACCUGCCCUGUAGACGGGGAUACCACCGAGAAAUCGUUUCUAAUACCGGAUAACACGACAUCUCUCAUUACGUUUCGUUUAAAUUCGCCGCAUGCUGUCGCUACAGGAUGGCCACGCGGCGCAUUAGCUCGUUGGUGAGGUAACGGGUCACCAAGGGGACGAUGGGUAGCCGACCUGAGGGGGUGAUCGGCCACACUGGGACUGAGACACGGCCGAGACUCCUACGGGAGGCAGCAGUAGGGAAUCUUACGCAAUGGACGAAAGUCUGAUGGAGCAACGCGGCGUGAGGGAAGAAGGACUUCGGGUCGUAAAGCUAUGUUGUUAGGGAAGAACAAGUAACGCAGUAACUGGCGUUACCGUGACGGUACCUAACGAGAAAGCCACGGCUAACUACGUG